GCGAGAGUGGCGGAAUAGGCAGACGCGCACGUUUGAGGGGCGUGUGAGUAAAAUCGUACGGGUUCAAGUCCCGUCUUUCGCACCA
rnacentral:tRNA from 3 species